CAAGGCAGUCACCUUGUCGUGGUGUGGGGGCUCACGUUGCAGUGAUUCAAUAAUAACAUUGAUGAGCAACAAACUAAGAACUGCCAACCCCUUAAUCCAGUGGUGUUAUGCGACCCGUGCCCAGUGGACAUGAUUGGUAGCGGGGGGAUAUAAUAUCGAGCUAUCGCAAACGGAGCCUUCCUGAUAACCGGGCCACAUCAGGAAGUAAUUUGGCCUUAACAUAAUUAUAAGAUUUGGUUUAGUGGCAAAUUUUCUCCUAAUAUUUCAACAAAAAUUAAGGGUAAUGAAUAUGAAACAGUUAGUGUGGAAUUUCUUUGCAAAUUUAACGCAAAAUCUGUCUUGAAAAAGCAAAUAAAAAAAAGGUUUUUUCAAAAUCGAGAACAAAGAAGAAUUUCUACAGUACGGGAAAAUUAUUUGCAAUUUUCAAGAUUUAUUUAUUAAUUGUGUUAACCUUCUUUUAAUAACCAAAAAAAUAACACCAAUUGAUAGAUAAUUUAAAAAACAAAACAAGCGAUAUCUUAGCCGGUGUCUAUGUGGAUGAAAAAGGUUUUAAUGAGUAAAGAUAAAUGGAAUUUUUUUCAACCUUUUGCUGGAAACAAAUAAUUUGAGUGAGAAAAAAUGAUGCCAUCAGGAAAAGAAUAACAAAUUUCUUAAUUAUAAAAAAAUAUGAAAAGCAAGCAAGUUUAAUCCAUAUUUCAAUUAGGCUUUGAAGUAAUUUGCUAAGGGUUUCACCACACUUUAACAGUGUUUAAAUUUAUAAAGAAAAUUUGAUGUAUCUAAUGAACAUAAACUAAGUGAAUCCAUAAUAUUGUUGCUUUUACAAGAUUAAUAAGAAUUCCUUUAAGCUAUAAUUUGAGAAUUCAUAAGUCAAUUAAUCAUACUUAGUCGUCACAUGAAACACAUGGAACAAAGAAAAUAAUGUGAAGAAAUUUAAAAGUGUGAUACAUAUUAUUAAAUAAAAUAAGAUUAUUAUCAUCGAAAAAAGACAAAUUAAGCUAAAAGGUGAAGCAACAAUACUGAAAGGUUAUAUAUCUAUUGAAAUAUUUUGGAAAAAAUAUGUCCACAAAGUUUAAAAGAAAAAUUAUGGUGUGGCAAAUAUACCAAUGAAAGUAUUUUCAAAUAGAGGGAACAUUAAAGGACCUCGUGGUAGAAGUAAGAUUUUAGAAUUAAUACUGUUUUUUUCAAGGGGAAGAUGGAAGAACUCUCUGUUAUUUCAGAUAUAAUAGGAGUUUUAAUAGCAGAACAACUAAUAUCUAACUUGAGAAUAUUUAGAGUAACAUUGUUAAAGUCUCAAUUCGUUUUGCCAAUAUUUAUACUUUCAUUAAGCCUCUUAAAGUUUUAAAGUCGAUGACGAAUUGCGGCCAAAAAGAAUUGAUAUUGCUGAUUGAAUUGUAACGAAAACUGAAAAUGAAAAAGAAACAAGUUUGAGGGUAAAUUUAUUGAAGGAUCUUCUUAUAUUGGAACAGAUAGUUCGUUUGAAUUGUUCGCUAGGAUAUAGAAACGUAUUUAAAAGGACCAGGCUUGGCUAGUAAUAUUAAUUUUCAACGCAAUUUGUCUUUAACAAAACAUUAAUAGUAAGUAAGUAAAUUAUAAAAUAUAACAAAACACUUUAGAGAAUAGAUUAAACCCUACUUUAACAUUAUAUCAUCAGGGUUUUUGCAAUUAUAAAUUAUAAAAAAUAAAAUAAACAUUAUUAGCCCAAAAAUUUAUUGAUUUCAUGUCAGUAAUUAUUAAUUAAAAUAAAACAUUAUAUAGUAUUAUGUUACUAAAAUACCCAUAUUUCAAAGUUAUUUACUUUUAUUAAUAUAUUAUAUAAGUAUAAUCAAUGAAUUUUAAACGAACUUAAAAAAACAAAACAGAAUUUUCAAAUGUAUAUCAAUAAAAUGUAUGUUUCAAAUUAAAUAA